rnacentral:rRNA from 1 species
GAUCCUGGCUCAGGAUGAACGCUAGCUACAGGCUUAACACAUGCAAGUCGAGGGGCAGCAUGUUGGUUGCUUGCAACCGAUGAUGGCGACCGGCGCACGGGUGAGUAACGCGUAUCCAACCUACCCUUGUCCAUCGGAUAACCCGUCGAAAGGCGGCCUAACACGAUAUGCGGUUCACAGCAGGCAUCUAAGGUGAACGAAAUGUGAAGGAGAAGGAUGGGGAUGCGUCUGAUUAGCUUGUUGGCGGGGUAACGGCCCACCAAGGCGACGAUCAGUAGGGGUUCUGAGAGGAAGGUCCCCCACAUUGGAACUGAGACACGGUCCAAACUCCUACGGGAGGCAGCAGUGAGGAAUAUUGGUCAAUGGACGGGAGUCUGAACCAGCCAAGUAGCGUGCAGGACGACGGCCCUAUGGGUUGUAAACUGCUUUUAUAGGGGGAUAAAGUGUGCCACGUGUGGCAUAUUGCAGGUACCCUAUGAAUAAGGACCGGCUAAUUCCGUG